CAUCCAUCAUCCAUCAUCCAUCCAUCAUCCAUCAUCCAUCCAUCCAUCAUCCAUCAUCCAUCCAUCAUCCAUCAUCCAUCCAUCCAUCAUCCAUCAUCCAUCCAUCAUCCAUCAUCCAUCCAUCCAUCAUCCAUCAUCCAUCCAUCAUCCAUCAUCCAUCCAUCCAUCAUCCAUCCAUCAUCCAUCCAUCCAUCAUCCAUCCAUCCAUCCAUCCAUCCAUCCGUCCCAGCAUCCCAAAAUAGAAAGGACUGGGAAUUGCCCUCCUCUCAUUUCGGCUCCCAUUUUCCAUCCUCACCCGCUGCUUCCCGUUGUGCUUGGGUUGCGCCUUGGUGGGAAUCGCUCCUGACUGGGAUCCCAAACCCCCAUCCCCACCCACGGAGAUCCCAGGAAUAUCAUCACCACCCACUCUGGCACUCCCACAUUCCCAAAAAAUGCCAGAGCUCAUUCUCCCAGAAUUUAUCUGCUCAACACGACAAUCCUGAUCCCGCUGUGCCACUCCAGGGCCAGGGCCGUGUUUGGGGUUUUUAGCGGUGUUUGUUUUGGGCUGCCCUGCCCUGGAACUGACCCCAUCCAUCCAUCCAUCCAUCCAUCCAUCCAUCCAUCCAUCCAUCCAUCCAUCCAUCCAUCCAUCCAUCCAUCCAUCCAUCCAUCCAUCCAUCAUCCAUCAUCCAUCAUCCAUCCAUCCAUCAUCCAUCAUCCAUCAUCCAUCCAUCCAUCAUCCAUCAUCCAUCAUCCAUCCAUCCAUCAUCCAUCAUCCAUCAUCCAUCCAUCCAUCAUCCAUCCAUCCCAUCCAUCCAUCCAUCAUCCAUCAUCCAUCCAUCCAUCAUCCAUCCAUCAUCCAUCAUCCAUCCAUCCAUCAUCCAUCCAUCAUCCAUCAUCCAUCCAUCCAUCAUCCAUCCAUCAUCCAUCAUCCAUCCAUCCAUCAAUCCAUCCAUCCAUCAUCCCAGCAUCCCAAAAUGGAAAGGACAGGGAAUUGCCCUCCUCUAAUUUCGGCUCCCAUUUUCCAUCCUCACCCGCUGCUUCCUGUUGCACUGGUGUCAAGAUUUGGUUGGAAUCGCUCCUGACUGGGAUCCCAAACCCCCUUCCCCACUCAGGCAGAUCCCAGGAAUAUCAACACUCUCCACUCCAGCACUCCCACAUUCCCAAAAAACGCCAGAGCCCGUUCUCCCAGAAUUUAUCCACCGAACACAACCCUGACCCCGCUGCAUGACUCCGGGGCCGGGGCCGUGUUUGGGGUUUUUAGCGGUGUUUGUUUUGGGCGGCCCUGCCCCGGCGCUGACCCCGGCGCCGUCACGCGCUCCUGGCACACGUGUGGCCCCCGGCUCCUCCAUGCCGCGCUAUUCCUGGCUGCCGAGCGGGAAUUGGCCGGGAUUAGCUCCUGACCGCCGGCAGCUGACGCCCGACGGGAGCCUGAGCUCCGCCAUCAUCCUGCGCCACCUUCCUCCUCCUUUUCCUCCCUUCCCUCCUUUUCCCUCCUCGUUCUCCUCUCUGCAGCCCCACUGGGGCUCAGAUCCCGGAUCCCAAUCCCUGCCCGAUCCCGCGGGUUUCGUAACGGCGGCUCCGUGACCUUUCUGCCUCUGCCCGCGCCGAGCGGGGAUGGAUUCAUCCCUCGGCCGCCAUUCCAGCUCAUCCAACCACUCCCAACCUCCGCCACGGCCUUUGGGAAUGCGGCUCCAGCCACCAGCGCGGUGGGAAUUGUCCCUGACCCUCAGCUGGGAGCACAGCCCAAUUCCCGCUGCCGAGCCAAAAUUCCCGCUGGAAGCCAG
rnacentral:lncRNA from 12 species